rnacentral:rRNA from 1 species
AUUGAACGCUGGCGGCAGGCUUAACACAUGCAAGUCGAACGAGUGGCGGACGGGUGAGUAAUGCUUGGGAAUCUAGCUUAUGGAGGGGGAUAACUACGGGAAACUGUAGCUAAUACCGCGUACCAUAGGAUGAGCCCAAGUGGGAGUAGGUAGUUGGUGAGGUAAAGGCUCACCAAGCCGACGAUCCCUAGCUGGUCUGAGAGGAUGACCGGCCAAACUGGGACUGAGACACGGCCCAGACUCCUACGGGAGGCAGCAGUGGGGAAUAUUGCGCAAUGGGGGAAACCCUGACGCAGCCAUGCCGCGUGAAUGAAGAAGGCCUUCGGGUUGUAAAGUACUUUCAGUCGGGAGGCGUUACCGACAGAAAAAGCACCGGCUAACUCCGUGCCAGCAGCCGCGGUAAUAC